AACAAAAUAACAAAUUUUAUUUACCUGAGUGCAUAACGGGCUGACAACUCGCUCAGAAAUCGACAACCGGAGGCGUCUUGUGUGUACGGAUACGUUCGCAAGGGGGCUUAUUAAUGGCUGUGAGGCUAUCAAUGGAGAGAGCAUUCUCAAUCGAAGUCGGUUGUGCACAUAAAAUGUAUAGUCAAAGGCUUUGCAAACUUGCCGUCAGAAUAAUAGACGGUCUCUGUGAGACAAUAAGCCCAUAAGCUGUGAGCUGGUGCUUGCAAGCCAAUGUGGGUAAUACCAAAACAAUCUGAUAGCCACGUUGAAAUAAGGCAAGAAGCAAGAAAGAGUAGCAUAAAUCGUGAAACAAAAUUUGCUGAAAGUCAUGUGAAAUUUGCGGGCAUUAAUCUCGCGUAGGAUACAAACGGGUAAGAAGCUUGUGGGUCGCUCCUGCAAGCUCAGCCUUAUCCGCCUAGUGGCUGAAUAUGAUUAGAAUUUUAUGUGUAAAGCGAAAGCUUGAAUAGAAUUUGUUAUUUUG
rnacentral:sRNA from 12 species